UAUUUACACAGUUUAACCUAUAUGUAUUGUGGAUUAAAUGCACGUUAUUGUGAGAAUUGUUGCUCUUAAGCUCUAUUAUACACUCAGACACCCCAACAAUAUGGUCCUCCGAGAAGAUUGGGACAUUAUGACAUAAAAGAGAGGCACAGGGAACCCAAAAUAGGGACUUUCCUUCCUAAAUAGGGGCAAUUGGAAGGUAUGUCAAAACUGGCAGUGAUG